AGUCGAGCGGACAGAUGGGAGCUUGCUCCCUGAAGUCAGCGGCGGACGGGUGAGUAACACGUGGGCAACCUGCCUGUAAGACUGGGAUAACUUCGGGAAACCGGAGCUAAUACCGGAUAAUGCUUUUGGACUCAUGUCCUUAAGCUGAAAGAUGGUUUCGGCUAUCACUUACAGAUGGGCCCGCGGCGCAUUAGCUAGUUGGUGAGGUAACGGCUCACCAAGGCAACGAUGCGUAGCCGACCUGAGAGGGUGAUCGGCCACACUGGGACUGAGACACGGCCCAGACUCCUACGGGAGGCAGCAGUAGGGAAUCUUCCGCAAUGGACGAAAGUCUGACGGAGCAACGCCGCGUGAGUGAUGAAGGUUUUCGGAUCGUAAAACUCUGUUGUUAGGGAAGAACAAGUAUCGGAGUAACUGCCGGUACCUUGACGGUACCUAACCAGAAAGCCACGGCUAACUACGUGCCAGCAGCCGCGGUAAUACGUAGGUGGCAAGCGUUGUCCGGAAUUAUUGGGCGUAAAGCGCGCGCAGGCGGUCCUUUAAGUCUGAUGUGAAAGCCCACGGCUCAACCGUGGAGGGUCAUUGGAAACUGGGGGACUUGAGUGCAGAAGAGGAGAGUGGAAUUCCACGUGUAGCGGUGAAAUGCGUAGAGAUGUGGAGGAACACCAGUGGCGAAGGCGACUCUCUGGUCUGUAACUGACGCUGAGGCGCGAAAGCGUGGGGAGCGAACAGGAUUAGAUACCCUGGUAGUCCACGCC
rnacentral:rRNA from 2 species